GAGUUUGAUCCUGGCUCAGGAUGAACGCUGGCGGCGUGCUUAACACAUGCAAGUCGAGCGAAGCACUUGUGAUGAUCCUUCGGGUAAUUCAUUUGUGACUGAGCGGCGGACGGGUGAGUAACGCGUGAGUAACCUGCCUCAUACAGGGGAAUAACAGUUAGAAAUGACUGCUAAUGCCGCAUAAGCGCACAGGACCACAUGGUCUGGUGUGAAAAACUCCGGUGGUAUGAGAUGGACUCGCGUCUGAUUAGCUAGUUGGUGAGGUAACGGCCCACCAAGGCGACGAUCCAUAGCCGGCCUGAGAGGGUGAACGGCCACAUUGGGACUGAGACACGGCCCAAACUCCUACGGGAGGCAGCAGUAGGGAAUAUUGCACAAUGGGGGAAACCCUGAUGCAGCGACGCCGCGUGGAGGAAGAAGGUCUUCGGAUUGUAAACUCCUGUUGUUGAGGAAGAUAAUGACGGUACUCAACAAGGAAGUGACGGCUAACUACGUGCCAGCCGCCGCGGUAAUUC
rnacentral:rRNA from 1 species